CCUGGUAACUCAGUUGGUAAAGAAUCUGCCUGAAAUGCAGGAGACCCAGGUUUGAUUCCUGGGUCAGGA
rnacentral:tRNA from 1 species